rnacentral:rRNA from 1 species
UACGGAGGGAGCUAGCGUUGUUCGGAAUUACUGGGCGUAAAGCGCACGUAGGCGGCUUUGUAAGUUAGAGGUGAAAGCCUGGAGCUCAACUCCAGAACUGCCUUCGAUACUGGAGAGCUCGAGUCCGGGAGAGGUGAGUGGAACUGCGAGUGUAGAGGUGAAAUUCGUAGAUAUUCGCAAGAACACCGGUGGCGAAGGCGGCCAACUGGACCAUUACUGACGCUGAGGCGCGAAAGCGUGGGGAGCAAACAGG